UACGUAGGGUGCAAGCGUUUAAUCGGAAUACUGGGCGUAAAGCGUGCGCAGGCGGUUUUGUAAGUCUGUCGUGAAAUCCCCGGGCUCAACCUGGGAAUUGCGAUGGAGACUGCAAGGCUAGAAUCUGGCAGAGGGGGGUAGAAUUCCACGUGUAGCAGUGAAAUGCGUAGAGAUGUGGAGGAACACCGAUGGCGAAGGCAGCCCCCUGGGUCAAGAUUGACGCUCAUGCACGAAAGCGUGGGGAGCAACAG
rnacentral:rRNA from 1 species